GGGUUGUGAGGUUAAGCGACUAAGCGUACACGGUGGAUGCCCUGGCAGUCAGAGGCGAUGAAGGACGUGCUAAUCUGCGAAAAGCGUCGGUAAGGUGAUAUGAACCGUUAUAACCGGCGAUGUCCGAAUGGGGAAACCCAGUGCAAUUCGUUGCACUAUCGUUAACUGAAUACAUAGGUUAACGAGGCGAACCGGGGGAACUGAAACAUCUAAGUACCCCGAGGAAAAGAAAUCAACCGAGAUUCCCCCAGUAGCGGCGAGCGAACGGGGAGCAGCCCAGAGUCUGAAUCAGCUUGUGUGUUAGUGGAACGGUCUGGAAAGUCCGACGGUACAGGGUGAUAGUCCCGUACACCAAAAUGCACAGGUUGUGAACUCGAAGAGUAGGGCGGGACACGUGGUAUCCUGUCUGAAUAUGGGGGGACCAUCCUCCAAGGCUAAAUACUCCUGACUGACCGAUAGUGAACCAGUACCGUGAGGGAAAGGCGAAAAGAACCCCGGCGAGGGGAGUGAAAAAGAACCUGAAACCGUGUACGUACAAGCAGUGGGAGCACCUUCGGGUGUGACUGCGUACCUUUUGUAUAAUGGGUCAGCGACUUAUAUUCUGUAGCAAGGUUAACCGUAUAGGGGAGCCGCAGGGAAACCGAGUCUUAACUGGGCGUUAAGUUGCAGGGUAUAGACCCGAAACCCGGUGAUCUAGCCAUGGGCAGGUUGAAGGUUGGGUAACACUAACUGGAGGACCGAACCGACUAAUGUUGAAAAAUUAGCGGAUGACUUGUGGCUGGGGUGAAAGGCCAAUCAAACCGGGAGAUAGCUGGUUCUCCCCGAAAGCUAUUUAGGUAGCGCCUCGUGAAUUCAUCUUCGGGGUAGAGCACUGUUUCGGCUAGGGGGUCAUCCCGACUUACCAACCCGAUGCAAACUACGAAUACCGAAGAAUGUUAUCACGGGAGACACACGGCGGGUGCUAACGUCCGUCGUGAAGAGGGAAACAACCCAGACCGCCAGCUAAGGUCCCAAAGUCAUGGUUAAGUGGGAAACGAUGUGGGAAGGCACAGACAGCCGGGAUGUUGGCUUAGAAGCAGCCAUCAUUUAAAGAAAGCGUAAUAGCUCACUGGUCGAGUCGGCCUGCGCGGAAGAUGUAACGGGGCUAAACCAUGCACCGAAGCUGCGGCAGUGACACUAUGUGUUGUUGGGUAGGGGAGCGUUCUGUAAGCCUGCGAAGGUGUGCUGUGAGGCAUGCUGGAGGUAUCAGAAGUGCGAAUGCUGACAUAAGUAACGAUAAAGCGGGUGAAAAGCCCGCUCGCCGGAAGACCAAGGGUUCCUGUCCAACGUUAAUCGGGGCAGGGUGAGUCGACCCCUAAGGCGAGGCCGAAAGGCGUAGUCGAUGGGAAACAGGUUAAUAUUCCUGUACUUGGUGUUACUGCGAAGGGGGACGGAGAAGGCUAUGUUAGCCGGGCGACGGUUGUCCCGGUUUAAGCAUGUAGGCUGGUUGUCCAGGCAAAUCCGGAUAAUCAAGGCUGAGGUGUGAUGACGAGGCACUACGGUGCUGAAGUAACAAAUGCCCUGCUUCCAGGAAAAGCCUCUAAGCAUCAGGUAACAUUAAAUCGUACCCCAAACCGACACAGGUGGUCAGGUAGAGAAUACCAAGGCGCUUGAGAGAACUCGGGUGAAGGAACUAGGCAAAAUGGUGCCGUAACUUCGGGAGAAGGCACGCUGGUGUGUAGGUGAAGUCCCUGCGGAUGGAGCUGAGACCAGUCGAAGAUACCAGCUGGCUGCAACUGUUUAUUAAAAACACAGCACUGUGCAAACACGAAAGUGGACGUAUACGGUGUGACGCCUGCCCGGUGCCGGAAGGUUAAUUGAUGGGGUUAUCCGUAAGGAGAAGCUCUUGAUCGAAGCCCCGGUAAACGGCGGCCGUAACUAUAACGGUCCUAAGGUAGCGAAAUUCCUUGUCGGGUAAGUUCCGACCUGCACGAAUGGCGUAAUGAUGGCCAGGCUGUCUCCACCCGAGACUCAGUGAAAUUGAACUCGCUGUGAAGAUGCAGUGUACCCGCGGCAAGACGGAAAGACCCCGUGAACCUUUACUAUAGCUUGACACUGAACAUUGAGCCUUGAUGUGUAGGAUAGGUGGGAGGCUUUGAAGCGUGGACGCCAGUCUGCGUGGAGCCAACCUUGAAAUACCACCCUUUAAUGUUUGAUGUUCUAACGUUGGCCCCUUACCGGGGUUGCGGACAGUGUCUGGUGGGUAGUUUGACUGGGGCGGUCUCCUCCCAAAGCGUAACGGAGGAGCACGAAGGUUAGCUAAUCUGGUCGGACAUCAGGAGGUUAGUGCAAUGGCAUAAGCUAGCUUGACUGCGAGCGUGACGGCGCGAGCAGGUGCGAAAGCAGGUCAUAGUGAUCCGGUGGUUCUGAAUGGAAGGGCCAUCGCUCAACGGAUAAAAGGUACUCCGGGGAUAACAGGCUGAUACCGCCCAAGAGUUCAUAUCGACGGCGGUGUUUGGCACCUCGAUGUCGGCUCAUCACAUCCUGGGGCUGAAGUAGGUCCCAAGGGUAUGGCUGUUCGCCAUUUAAAGUGGUACGCGAGCUGGGUUUAGAACGUCGUGAGACAGUUCGGUCCCUAUCUGCCGUGGGCGCUGGAGAAUUGAGGGGCUGCUCCUAGUACGAGAGGACCGGAGUGGACGCAUCACUGGUGUUCGGGUUGUCAUGCCAAUGGCACUGCCCGGUAGCUAAAUGCGGAAGAGAUAAGUGCUGAAAGCAUCUAAGCACGAAACUUGCCCCGAGAUGAGUUCUCCCUGAGACUUUAAGUCUCCUGAAGGAACGUUGAAGACGACGACGUUGAUAGGCCGGGUGUGUAAGCGCAGCGAUGCGUUGAGCUAACCGGUACUAAUGAACCGUGAGGCUUAACCUUACAACGCCGAAG
rnacentral:rRNA from 1 species